rnacentral:siRNA from 1 species
UACAAGCGUAGAGUUAAGAUGC